rnacentral:rRNA from 1 species
AACCGUGCAAAGGUAGCGUAAUCAUUUGUCUAUUAAUUGUAGACCCGUAUGAAAGGCAUAAUGAGGGUCUGUCUGUCUCUUAUAAUAAAUCAAUUAAACUGAUCUCCUAGUAAAAAAGCUAGAAUAUACACACAAGACCAGAAGACCCUGUGAAGCUUAAACUAAACUAUUAAAUCUCAUAAUACUUACUUUCGGUUGGGGCGACCUUGGAAAAAAAAAGAACUUCCAAAUAUAUGACCAUAACCCACAUCCCGGCCCACAAGCCUUACAUAGACCCAGUACAGCUGAUAAUUGAACCAAGUUACUCCAGGGAUAACAGCGCCAUCUUCUUCAAGAGUCCAUAUCAAAAAGAAGGUUUACGACCUCGAUGUUGGAUCAGGACAUCCUAA